CAGGGAAUAUUGAUUAAUGUGCGAAAGCGCGAACCAGCAACGCCGCGUGUGCGAUGAAGGCCUUCGGGUCGUAAAGCACUUUUUGCAGGGACGAGGAAGGACGGUACCUGCAGAAUAAGUCUCGGCUAACUACGUGCCAGCAGCCGCGGUAAAACGUAGGAGACGAGCGUUAUCCGGAUUUACUGGGCGUAAAGCGCGUGCAGGCGGCAUGGCAAGUUGGAUGUGAAAGCUCCCGGCUUAACUGGGAGAGGUCGUUCAAUACUGCCAGGCUUGAGAGUGGUAGAGGGAAGCGGAAUUCCGGGUGUAGUGGUGAAAUGCGUAGAUAUCCGGAGGAACACCAGUGGCGAAAGCGGCUUCCUGGCCCAUUUCUGACGCUCAGACGCGAAAGCUAGGGUAGCAAACGG
rnacentral:rRNA from 1 species